UACGUAGGGGGCAAGCGUUGUCCGGAAUCAUUGGGCGUAAAGAGCGCGUAGGCGGCCCUGUAAGUCCGCUGUGAAAGUCAAGGGCUCAACCCUUGAAUGCCGGUGGAUACUGCAGGGCUAGAGUCCGGAAGAGGCGAGUGGAAUUCCCAGUGUAGAGGUGAAAUUCGUAGAUAUUGGGAAGAGCACCGGUGGCGAAGGCGGGUCUCUGGGCCGUAACUGACGCUGAGGAGCGAAAGCGUGGGGAGCGAACAGG
rnacentral:rRNA from 1 species